AGUUCUUCGGAAUUAGAGACCGGCGCACGGGUGCGUAACGCGUAUGCAAUCUACCUUUUACAGAGGGAUAGCCCAGAGAAAUUUGGAUUAAUACCUCAUAGUAUGCAGAGUUGGCAUCAACACUGCAUUAAAGUCACAACGGUAAAAGAUGAGCAUGCGUCCCAUUAGCUAGUUGGUAAGGUAACGGCUUACCAAGGCUACGAUGGGUAGGGGUCCUGAGAGGGAGAUCCCCCACACUGGUACUGAGACACGGACCAGACUCCUACGGGAGGCAGCAGUGAGGAAUAUUGGACAAUGGGCGCAAGCCUGAUCCAGCCAUGCCGCGUGCAGGAUGACGGUCCUAUGGAUUGUAAACUGCUUUUGUACGGGAAGAAACACUCCUUCGUGAAGGAGCUUGACGGUACCGUAAGAAUAAGGAUCGGCUAACUCCGUGCCAGCAGCCGCGGUAAUACGGAGGAUCCAAGCGUUAUCCGGAAUCAUUGGGUUUAAAGGGUCCGUAGGCGGUUUAGUAAGUCAGUGGUGAAAGCCCAUCGCUCAACGGUGGAACGGCCAUUGAUACUGCUAGACUUGAAUUAUUAGGAAGUAACUAGAAUAUGUAGUGUAGCGGUGAAAUGCUUAGAGAUUACAUGGAAUACCAAUUGCGAAGGCAGGUUACUACUAAUGGAUUGACGCUGAUGGACGAAAGCGUGGGUAGCGAACAGGAUUAGAUACCCUGGUAGUCCACGCCGUAAACGAUGGAUACUAGCUGUUGGGAGCGAUCUCAGUGGCUAAGCGAAAGUGAUAAGUAUCCCACCUGGGGAGUACGUUCGCAAGAAUGAAACUCAAAGGAAUUGAC
rnacentral:rRNA from 1 species